GACGAACGCUGGCGGCGUGCUUAACACAUGCAAGUCGAACGGAAAGGCCCUGCUUUUGUGGGGUGCUCGAGUGGCGAACGGGUGAGUAACACGUGAGUAACCUGCCCUUGACUUUGGGAUAACUUCAGGAAACUGGGGCUAAUACCGGAUAGGAGCUCCUGCUGCAUGGUGGGGGUUGGAAAGUUUCGGCGGUUGGGGAUGGACUCGCGGCUUAUCAGCUUGUUGGUGGGGUAGUGGAUUACCAAGGCUUUGACGGGUAGCCGGCCUGAGAGGGUGACCGGCCACAUUGGGACUGAGAUACGGCCCAGACUCCUCCGGGAGGCAGCAGUGGGGAAUAUUGCACAAUGGGCGGAAGCCUGAUGCAGCAACGCCGCGUGCGGGAUGACGGCCUUCGGGUUGUAAACCGCUUUCGCCUGUGACGAAGCGUGAGUGACGGUAAUGGGUAAAGAAGCACCGGCUAACUACGUG
rnacentral:rRNA from 1 species